UACGAAGGGUGCAAGCGUUACUCGGAAUUACUGGGCGUAAAGCGUGCGUAGGUGGUGAGUUAAGUCUGUCGUGAAAGCCCCGGGCUCAACCUGGGAAUGGCGAUGGAUACUGGCUCGCUAGAGUGCGGUAGAGGAGAGUGGAAUUCCCGGUGUAGCAGUGAAAUGCGUAGAGAUCGGGAGGAACACCAGUGGCGAAGGCGACUACCUGGCCCAUUCUUGACGCUGAGGCGCGAAAGCUAGGGGAGCGAACGGG
rnacentral:rRNA from 1 species